rnacentral:misc_RNA from 1 species
GUUCAGUCCCUACAAGACCAAGCAUCUGCUUUGAAAAGAAAGGCAUGGGCUAACUCAACAACUUCCACUUAUCGCACUCAUAUGAAGACUUACCUGGAUUUUUGUGACCAUAUCAGUGUGCCCCCACUACCAGCAACUUCAAAAACAUUACAGUUAUAUGCGACUUACUUGGCCAAAGUGAAGUGUUUCAAAUUUUGUUCAAUUCAGCAAUACUUGAAUAUUAUACCACACAUGCACAAACUUUGUGAUCUAUCAGACCCUAUUCCAGAGGAUUACCAGUUGAAAUAUUUGCUCAUGGGUAUUAAGCGAGAAUUGGGUACCGCCCAAUUUCCUGUCGAUUCGAUAACACCAUCACAUCUUCUCCGGAUGAGAUCUUUCCUUGACUUUUCAUCAGUUGAAGACUCGGGCUUUUGGUGUGCUUGUUUAAUAGCCUUUUAUGGUCUGCUUCGUCCAGGCACAAUUGCAAUUACAGGACCUUUUGAGGCAUCAAAACAUGUCAGAAGAGUUGAUUUGAUGCCCUGUUCAUGGGGCUACCUACUUUGCUUACGACAUACAAAGACAAUUCAGUUUCGAGAAAGAGAGCUUAAUGUUAUCCUUCCUCAAGUUACUGGGGAAAUGUGUCCGGCAUCAGCCCUGCAGGCUUACCUUCAUCUUACAAGAGGAGCAGAUCUUUUUGGGCCUCUUCUUCUCUCAGGAAAAGGUUCCGUUUUUACCUACAGCAUUUUCCGCCAAAAGCUACAUUCCAUACUUGUACAAGCAGGAAUUGAUGACAGUAACAUCAAGGGUCAUUCUUUUCGACGUGGUGGAGCCACCUGGUUAAGUCGGAUUAGUGUGCCGGUGAAUCAGAUCAAAGCGAUUGGAUACUGGUCGAGUGAUGCAGUGUUAAGAUACAUUGACCCUCACUUUUCAAGUUUACUAGAUACCAUGGUCCUCUUUGGUAAAUCACUUCCCAAUGCUAAAUAGACUAGUAAUUUUGUUACUUAUAACCUUCCAAUUCAAGAUAUGUUACAAAUCAGUUUUCUUAUCUUCCCCACAAAUUUUGGGAUUGGGGGUUUUUGUAACUAUUAUUUUUCUCAUAUUCUUUAAUCAUGUUUUACGUGUAUAUGCGUUUGAUGUAUUUUUUGUCAAUAAAUUUCACGCCACUUUGAUUACUUGUUCUAUUGGUAAGAGGACUUGAGUCAAAGUGGUUUUUAUUAUGAUAAAAUAAAUUUUGACAUGGUCCCUGUAUGCACAGGUUUGCGGGAGUUAUCGCUCUUUGCGCAAUCCCAUGCGCAAUUUUUGCAGUUAAGUUUUGGCGCCAUAUAUAUGCAAGCUGUUCGGCGAGCAGCUCUUUUUUCUCCCACCCACCCAACCCAUUUUUGCUUCCAUUUAAAGUAGCAUUACUUUGUGGCUGCACUGCCUUUUUGUAUGUUUGGUAAUUUUUGUAAUAGUGUGUAUGGGGUUUUUGUAACUAUUAUUUUUCUCAUAUUCUUUAAUCAUGUUUUACGUGUAUAUGCGUUUGAUGUAUUUUUUGUCAAUAAAUUUCACGCCACUUUG